ACGGGAGGCAGCAGUGAGGAAUAUUGGACAAUGGCCGGAAGGCUGAUCCAGCCAUGCCGCGUGAAGGCAGACGGUCCUAUGGAUUGUAAACUUCUUUUGUACGGGAGCAAUAAGGUGGACGAGUCCAUCGAUGAGAGUACCGUACGAAUAAGCAUCGGCUAACUCCGUGCCAGCAGCCGCGGUAAUACGGAGGAUGCGAGCGUUAUCCGGAUUUAUUGGGUUUAAAGGGUGCGUAGGCGGACUGGUAAGUCAGCGGUGAAACGCAGGUGCUCAACACCUGACCUGCCGUUGAUACUGCUGGUCUUGAAUGCGGAUGCUGUGGGAGGAAUGUGUGGUGUAGCGGUGAAAUGCAUAGAUAUCACACAGAACACCGAUUGCGAAGGCAUCUCACAAAUCCGCGAUUGACGCUGAGGCACGAAAGUGCGGGGAUCGAACAGGAUUAGAUACCCUGGUA
rnacentral:rRNA from 1 species